CAUCCAUCUUCGACGAGGUCUCCCUCGAGCUCUCGUUCUUCCAUUUCUUCGUGUAUGAUUCUAUUCAUUAGUCUUACAUUUGCUCUUCAAACAUGUCCCAUCCAUUCUAGUCUUGUGAUUCUAACGAACUGAACCACAGUUUCUCUUUUAUAAAGUGUAUUUAGUUGAUUGUUUGAUCUUAUUUCCCACUUUUGCUCUCCAUGAUUAUAAUAUA